CCUACGGGAGGCUGCAGUGGGGGAUAUUGCACAAUGGCGGGAACCCUGAUGCAGCGACGCCGCGUGGGUGAAGAAGCGCCUCGGCGCGUAAAGCCCUGUCAGCAGGGAAGAAAAUGACGGUACCUGAAGAAGAAGCCCCGGCUAACUAUCGGCAAGCAGCCGCGGUAAUACGUAGGGGGCCAGCGUUAUCCGGAUGUACGGGGUGUAAAGGGGGCGCAGACGGCGAUGCAAGCCAGGAGUGAAAGCCCCGGGCCCAACCCCGGGACUGGUCUUGGAACUGCGUGGCUGGAGUGCAGGAGGGGCAGGCGGAAUGCCGGGUGUAGCGGUGAAAUGCGUAGAUAUCAGGAGGAACACCGGUGGCGAAGGCGGCCUGCUGGACUGCAACUGACGUUGAGGCCCGAAAGCGUGGGGAGCAAACAGGAUUAGAUACCCGAGUAGUC
rnacentral:rRNA from 1 species